AAGGUGUUCCUAAUGUUUGGUGUACUCAGUUUAUUUUACUUUAGCCUAUAUCACAAUAGUUUCACAGUUAAGAAAGUGUUUCAAACCCCUCUAAUUACUGAACGCUACAUUGAUCCAAAAACCCAUACUUGGAAUGUGAACGGUUCCUAAUGGAAGACUCAUUUCCGGUCUCCCUGAAGUCGAUACUCACAUUCUCAAUCACUCACCGUGGAACAGUCACAACAAGCCUACCAGAGAUUCAACUCCUUCAUCUUAUUCAUUAGGGAUACUGUAGCAAAAUGUGCAAUGGUGUACCAAUUAGUAGCCUAGUCUUUUUAGUAUUAAGUGAAAUAAUAGGACAAAAUAUAUAUAUUUUGUAAACUUAUUUCUAUAAAGGUUUUAGUCUGACUAGUGGAUUUUAGAGAUCCCCUUGGCCUCCUGUUGGUUAACUCUUGAUGCCUGGUCUUGCUGUAAAGAGACUGAAUACAGCUUGAUUAUUGGGACACUUCAAUUGACUUUCCAAACUCAACUACCUUUACAAGCCUCUGUAGAAGAACCUCUGAUCUCUUUUUUUUGUUAGAAAUAAGAAGGCAAAGAAUAAUAUUUUAUUUUCUAAUUAAUAUGAAUGUGUUGGUGAAAGAACCUACGAUGAUGGGGCAUGUUUUUCUUUUAGAAAAUAUAUUUUUCACUUUUCUGUUUUUUGUGGCGAGAUUAUGAAAGACCGCGCGCAUCAAGACUUGCUUUACUGUAACCAAUACUUCCUGUUUUGAACAUGGAGUUAUUCUACCAUCAACUAUGAAGUGGAAGUGCUUUUUAGAUUUUUUUUUGGAAAGGGACACUUCUACUGUUCUUCUCAGUUGUACCUCUGACAGCUGUGAGAUGAAAAGGUAUGCAGUGGUGGAGAAGGACGCCAUCUACAGUGUGUCAGGAGCAGUGGUUUGUUCCUUCCAGGAGAGCAACAACCUGAGGACGCAACUUCUCACAUCAUGAUGACGAGGUGGCAUCUCUGCUGAUCUAGUGGUGGACAAGGACGUCAUCUAUGUCAGGAGCAGUGUCUUGUUCCAGGAGAGCAACACUUGAGGAGGAGUCUUCUCAGUCAUGAUGAGGGGAGGUCUUGUCUUGUUCCAGGAGAGCAACACUUGAGGAGGAGUCUUCUCAGUCAUGAUGAGGAUCCUCUAUUGGCCAUACUAGAGUGACAGGAAGUCUGAUUCCAUCCUCAACCUGUGGACCUGCCCCGAGGAUGUUGGACACCACCCGUUGCAUCUUCAGCCACACCGAUUUCCUGUCAGACUGGUUGUCUUUGAACUCCAUGCCAUGGACUGACCUGAAGAUUUACCAGAACAGGAAUACAAUGUUAAUCAGACUCCCCACACAGUGGACAGACUCCUCUCUGACUGGUUGUGAGGUCACAGGAAAUAGACUGAUCUGUUGUUAUGAGCGACCGCAAGUCUUUAUUAGUUGUGUAACAGAAUAUUACAGCCAGCUUCAUUUCUAUUCUGUUGGUCUCUGUUGUUGUUGGUCUUUGUUCUGAGCUUGAGUUUUCAUCAUGGUGGAUGCAGCAUUCUAAUCCUGAUAGAUUAUAGCUAUUAGGACUUCAGGAUGUAGCCAGCACAUUGAUGUCCACACUCUGGACAAUAUAAAAGGCCUGGGAGAGGGACCACGCUUUCAGGAGAAGGAUAACAGGGCCUUGUCCAGAAACAACCCCCAGCCCUUAACCUCCAAGGCACAUGUACAGGAGAUUUAAUACAUUAUUUGAUACAAUCAGGGAAUUUGACCUACAGUAUGGAUUACGUUUUGGAAAUCCAAUGAUCAUUAAAUGUAUUUUUGUUAUUUUU